rnacentral:lncRNA from 1 species
UUUGUUGCAAAAUCUUAUUUACAUAGGGAAAAAAAAAGAACUAGCAGACAAACUAUGCCCUGUCUGUCUUAUGUUUGCAGAUUGUGGAGGUGAGUUGAGAAGGAUGCUCAUGGAAAGGGGUCUGGAGGCAGCUGAAAUCAACAGGCAGCUCCAAGGGUAUUUUCAGCCUCAGGAAUACACCAGAAGGGAUGGUGAAAGCCAGGAAGAAAUGCUUAACAAAACUCAGAGCGUGACCACAUUGGUGACUUCGGUGAAACCCUUCGUGGAGACACUUUCACUUAUUGCAGCAGCUCCCCGGGCACGGCAGAUAACGGGUUCCUCUCAGCACAAGCGCCGAGAAGUCCACAGUCAAUUACCAGCCCCUUGCCUGCAGCCAAUGGACGAGGGAUCCUGCCGGCACUACGCCCUGCUCUGGUAUUACCAUGCAGAGGCCGACGCCUGCCGGCCCUUUGUCUUCGGGGGAUGCCGAGGGAACAGCAACCGCUUCGAAACCAAGUGGAAAUGUGAGCAGCGGUGCAAAACCUCAGCAGAUGUUUCCUUCCAACCGGAGAUAUGACGCCCAUGUAACAGCAGGCACAUACCACGUGUACAGGCGCUGCUUUCUCCUAAUAAAAUCACCGUGAAGACUCCA